GAGGAACUUCCCGACUCCCCGCCCGCCGCAAGGCGGAACGUCGCCCCGCGAAACAGCAAGCGGGGGCGCGCAGGGGGUAACGCCUGCGCGACGCAAGACGGCAACAGAGAGCAGACCCGCCGAUGGCUCCUUCGCGAGCUCAGGUAAGGGGUGAAAGGGUGCGGUAAGAGCGCACCGGCGUCGGCAGCGAUGCCGGCGGCCAGGCGACUGCGCCGACGAUGGGGAGCAAGGUGUGUGGGGCGGGCUUAUCGUGUGGGAGCGACGCACGUCGCGUGAUCACCACCGCGCUCGCUCACAUCGCAGCCGCGACGGUGAAGGCGGGCAACACCCGCCAGGCCAGGAGCGGCCCGCGCAGUGCGCGGAGAGAGAUGGCGGCGAACAACAGAAUCGGGGGUA
rnacentral:misc_RNA from 1 species